rnacentral:rRNA from 1 species
AUUGAACGCUGGCGGCAGGCCUAACACAUGCAAGUCGAGCGAGCGGCGGACGGGUGAGUAAUGUAUGGGGACUGCCCGAUAGAGGGGAAUAACUACUGGAAACGGUGGCUAAUACCGCAUACUGUCGAAUAAACCAUCUGGGAUUAGCUAGUAGGUAAGGUAAUGGCUUACCUAGGCGACGAUCCCUAGAUGGUCUGAGAGGAUGAUCAGCCACACUGGAAUUGAGACACGGCCCAGACUCCUACGGAGGUAGCAGUGGGGAAUAUUGCACAAUGGGCGCAAGCCUGAUGCAGCCAUGCCUCGUGUAUGAAGAAGGCCCUAGGGUUGUAAAGCACUUUCAGUCGGGAGGCGUUACCGACAGAAGAAGCACCGGCUAACUCCGUGCCAGCAGCCGCGGUAAUAC